rnacentral:rRNA from 1 species
CCUACGGGAGGCAGCAGUGAGGAAUAUUGGUCAAUGGACGCAAGUCUGAACCAGCCAUGCCGCGUGCAGGAAGACGGCCCUAUGAGUUGUAAACUGCUUUUGUACGGGGGUAAACGCAGAUACGCGUACCUGUCUGAAAGUACCGUACGAAUAAGCAUCGGCUAACUCCGUGCCAGCAGCCGCGGUAAUACGGAGGAUUCAAGCGUUAUCCGGAUUUAUUGGGUUUAAAGGGUGCGUAGGCGGUGGGCUAAGUUAGAGGUGAAAUCCCGAGGCUCAACUUCGGAUGUGCCUUUGAUACUGGCCGGCUAGAGAGGAGUAGCGGUAGGCGGAA